UCUCCGUAGGUGAACCUGCGGAAGGAUCAUUACCAAAAGAUAAUCUUUCAAAUCGAAAGAUCUUUUCCUUUGUGCUGGCUUUGACCGUAUGUAAUUUUGGGACUUAAACAUGGUAGCUUUUUUGUUACCGGUCCCAAAAACAAUUAUAUCAUCCUUAUGAAGAACUUACUGAAAACUAAACAAUGAUUUUAAUAAUCUGUUUAAAACAACUUUCAACAACGGAUCUCUUGGUUCUC
rnacentral:misc_RNA from 1 species